UCGCUUGAUCUUGUCAGCAAAAUCUACCGAAUUGGUACGCUGACUGUGUAAUUUUAAUAUUUUUUUAAUCCAUUUGAAUUUAAAAUUAUUUCCAUUAUUUUUUUGAAGGAGAAUUAUUUCCAUUAUUUAAAAUUCAAAAAAUUUAAUUUAAAAAAUAAUUAAAAAUCAACUUAAAAAAAACGUGUUCAUCAUAAUCUUCAAUCUCAUCCUAACUCUCAAAUUCAUCUCCUCUUCAUGCAUCAAAAUAGAAAGGGAUUAAACAUUAAUAAAAAUUGAUCAAAAUCAUCAUCUACUUGUUUAUUUUUCCACUUUUCAUCUUCUUCACGGCGUUCUUUUAAAAAAGAAAAAAAAAUAUUGUCUUCACUAUAUUCUUCUAGAAAUUAUCCAGAACACAACAAGCUUCAACUCAAACCCAAAAACAAAUUUCAGAAUUAUUUCACCACUACACAACAUCAACAACACUGAAAAACACAACAUCAACAAUUUGCCUAAUGGAGAAAUGAAUAUUUCUAGAUUUGAUGGAGCAAUUGAAGCCCAUAAUGAUUUAUCUUUCCAGAUAUGCUCUUCCUGAAUCUUUGUUUUGAACAACAAUGGCUGAAACUUCAGUUAACAACAAAAUCCAUUUCCGUGUUCCCAGAAAUGCAACCAUGAAUGGAUAGUGGAUUUAUCCGAGCUUCAGCGCGUCAUGGAAGAACUUUGGCGGUGGUUGAUGGUGGCACGACGGUGGUAUGGUCGGUUCCGAUUGGAACCUCGUGUGGGUUGAAGGGAGUUUGUUUGGAUUUGUUUUGAAUUGAUUUGUGAGUUUAUGUUUUCAUUUUCCACCAUUGUUGUAAUUUGUUGUUACUGGUCUAUCAUCUUUAAAUGAAUGGGUAGGAGUUGAUGUUAAUGUUGUGUUUGAAUCUUAAUAGAAGAAGAACCUGGAGAGAAGAAGAAGCAUGAUGGGAAGGUGGAAAAACCUUGAAUUUGAUUUUAAUUAGAUUUUUUGGUAAUUUUUUUGAUGAUUUAAUUUUAAAGAUUUUAGUUAAUAUUUAAUAUUGAAAUUAAAAUUUAUUUUAAUCUAAGUGGCAUCUAAUUCCUAUUAAAAAAAUAAA
rnacentral:lncRNA from 1 species